rnacentral:rRNA from 1 species
CGAUUUGCACGUCAGUAUCGCUACGAACCUCCAUCAGGGUUUCCCCUGACUUCAUUCUACUCAGGCAUAGUUCACCAUCUUUCGGGUCCUAACAGAUAUGCUCCAACUCAAACCUCUCUCAGAGAUCGUGGUCGGUCGUAGGUGCGAAGAAUGGCAAAGCCAAAAUCUCCCUACUCUCACUUUCAUUGCGCAUACAGGAGUAAAACCCGCAUACUCGCACAUAUGUUAGACUCCUUG